CACAUGUAGCCCUCCAGACCUCCGGCACGCGCUCUCUUCCAGGUUUGGGACCCUCUCGCUGGACGAGAUUCCCGGGCUCGCAUUCAGUUCACAACAGAUCUUCUUUGUGGAGAAAGCGAGUACCAGAUGCCUGUAAUCGGCCGUCUUGAAGCUCCUCUCUAGGCUGGAAUGCAGUGGCACAAUCUCUGAUCACUGCAACCACCACCUUCGGGGUUCAAGUGAUUCUUCUGCCUCAGCCAUCCUCCUGCCUCAAGUAGCUGGGAUUACAGGUAACUCAUCUUAAGAAGAAACAGGAGGAAGGAGACAAUGUUGAAGACAAAGCCGGUCAUGGCAGACCAUCCACAUCGAUUUGUGAGAAAGAAAAAAUCAUCUUCUUUAUUUUUGAAUGAACAAGAAUUGAAAGAAGACCAACAAUUAACAGCAGACACAGUAGUCAGCAACGAAGACAUCAUAGUUACUUCAGCUUAAACGCUUUUGACUGAAAAAUAAGUUCAGCAAACUUUCCAUUCAAUGAAUGAGUGCCAAACUGUUGGGCCCAGAUCAGCUGCAGACAAGAUCAGAGCUUUUGUCAGAAAUUUUAAACAAUUGGGAUAAAGAUUCUUAAGUUUUCUUCAAGUAACUUUAACAAGAGAUGAAACAUGGCUUUAUCAGUAUGAUUUGGAAGACAAAGCACAAUCAAAGCAAUGGCUUUGUCAUGACGUAGAAGUGACCCAGUAAAGCAAAAGCAGACCUGUGAAGAUAGCAAAGGUAAUGGCAACAUUUUGUGGAGAUGCUCAAGACAUUUUAGUGGGUGACUUUCUGGAGGGCCAAAGAAUGAUAGUAACUACUUCUUAUGAGAGUGUUUUAAGCAAGUUAGCCAAGCUUUAGCAUGAAAGAGAGAUACUUUCUUCACCUAAACAAUAAUCCUACUUAUAUCUCUCAUCAAGUAAGGGCAAUUUUGUGAGUAUUUUUACAAGAAUUCGUUAGCAUCCACCUUACAGUCUUCAUUUCUCUCCUUCUGACUUCUUUUUUUUUUCCCCUAAUCUCAAAGAAAAUAAGAUAUUAAAGAGAACCAUUUUUUCUUUAGUUAAUUCUUUGAAAAAGACUACAUUCACAUGCUUAAAUUCCCAGGUCCCUUAGUCCUUUAUGGAUAGACUAAAUGGCUGAUACUAUUGCUUAUAAAAAUGUCUUGAACUUCUGACUUCAGGUCAUCCACUCACCUCGGCCUCCUAAAGUGCUGAGAUUACAGGAGUGGCCACUGCGUCCAGCCAGCCUGACUGACACGGUGAAACCCUGUCUCUACUAAAAAUUAGCUGGGUAUGAUGGCAGUUGCCUGUAAUUCCAGCUACUGGGGAGGCUGAGGCAGGAGAAUCAUUUGAACCCAGGAGGCGAAGGUUGCAGUGAGCCCAGAUAGAACCAUUGCACUCCAGCUUGGGUGACAGAG